rnacentral:lncRNA from 1 species
UUGGAAAGGAUGUGGAGAAUCUGGGAAUCUAAUAUAAUGUUGGUGGGUGUAAAAUUGUACCACCACUUUAGAACAUAAUUUGGCAGUUUCUUAACAACUUAAAUAUUUCCCUAUCAACUGUCGAGGCACUGUACUCCUAGUUAUUAACUCAAGAGAAAGGCAACGUAGCUUCAUAGAAAGACUUCACUAUGAAUUUUAUAGCAGCUUAAUUUUUCAUAGCCUCAAACUGCAAACAACCCAAAUGUCAAUUAACAGAUGAAUGGAUACAUAAAUUGUGUUACAGUCAUACAAUAGAACACUCCUCAGCAAUAAAAAGAAUGAGCUACUGAUACAAACAACAUGGAUGGAUCUCACAAUAAUUAUGCUGCAUGAAAAGAACUGUACAAAAGGGAGUCAAUACUUGAUGAUUAAAUUUAUAUAAAAUUCAAGAAAAAGCAAUUUAAUCUAUAGUGAAAGUAACAAAUAAAGUCACCUGGGGAUAAGAGCCAGGGAAGGCACUGGCAAUGACCUAACUCUAGGAAGGGCUCUGGGCAGGUGAGAAACUGCAAUUGUAGCUUCUGAAAGCUUACCACAUACCUGGCACCCAUCAGGCAUCUCUCCAGCAUGGAGGUUCAGAUGUAUGAUGCUCUAACUUCUGGCAGAUGAUGCCUUCACAAAGGGUAAUCUCAGAGCUGCCCUCUGGUAUGAGCUAUGUUGAACAGGGAGACAGCAUAUCCACUGCACUCCUAAGAACUUUCUCCAGUGUGAACUUUCUGGUGCUGAAUGACAUCAUGCCUUUAUAUGGCUUUUCUCUAAUCUGAACGUUCUGGUGCACGAACUUACAGAUGCAGCUGAAAGCACUCCAACACUGGCUACACUGAUAAAGCCUUUUUGUUCUGGUGCAGAACAAGAAAGCUCCUGGUGAAGGCUUUCCCGCAGUUGCUGCACUCCUGAGGCCUCUCCCGUGUGAAUUCUGCAGUGCUGAAUGCAGCAGGAGCUUUGGCUAAUGAAUUUCCCAUAUUUGUCAUCCACGUAACACCUAUCACCAGUGAACCAGUUUCUAGUGUGCAAUAAGAAUGCAGCUUUAGCUAAAGACUUUCACACAUUAAUAGCACACACGAGGCCCUUCUGCACUGUGGAUCCUCUGGUGCUGAACAAGGGGGUCUUUGCAGCUGAAGGCUUUCCCACAUCGCUGUACUCAUGGGGCUUUGCUCCAGUGUGCUUUCUCUGGUGCUGAACAAGGUGGAAGCUUCCAUAGGAUUUUCCACAUUCAGGGCACUUGUAAGGCCUUUCUGUAGUGUGGAUUCUCUGGUGCUGAACAAGAGCGUCUUUGUGGCUGAAGGCUUUCCCACAUGUGCUACACUUGUGAUUCCUUUGUCUAGUGUGAAAGGCUCCCCACAUGCAGAGCCCCUGUGUGGCUUGCUCCUGGUGUGAGGGGCCUCUUGCUGGAAAAUGCCUUAGCUGGCCGAGAAAUCCUUCCCAGUAUCCCUACAUGUGGAGGGUUUCUCUGACAUGUAGGCUCUGCAGCUCUUCAUAAACAAGGCCCUGCCUUCAUUCCUGCCGAAGAGUUCUCUCCACUCUGCUGCUUUGGGUGUGCUGAACGAGAACUAUUUCCCACAUGCCUCACCUGGGAGCGGUUUCUCCACAAGGGCGUGUCCCCAGAUGCUCAGCCAGGUGCAAACCAUCUUUCAAGAUGGGGCCACACAUCUCUCUGGGGUAGGCCUUCUAGGUGGAAACUCCUAAGAAACUUUUUCUAUAGAAACAUUGUGCCCAGAAGAUGUUUCUCCAUCUUCCACACCACACAAACAACCUGAAAGCAGAGAAAUGUUGGUGAAAUGUAUUUUGGUAGGAAGUGGCAGUCCCAACACAAAUGUGUAACAGACACACUCAGGAAGGAGUCCACGGGAUUGAUGGCAGAGUACGGAAGCUGGGUCAGGGUGAGGAAGGGCCUUGGAGCAGUGCUGGAGCUGUUAAGGUCAGAGAAUUGGGCAGCCUCUCCAGGGACAAACACCCAACAAUGAGGUAAAGUGCAGAGGAGAGAAGCAAGGUGACCAACACGUUCCCCUGCAUCAGAUUUCAGCAGGGUCUUGUCUGCUAGUAACAGUUAAGUGCUGUGCAGAAGGGUGUGCCCCGGCCCAGAAAAAUGUGAAAUACAGUCAAUCCUCACUAUUAGCAUAUUCUGUAUUUGCAAGUUUGCCUAUUCACCAAAACUUAUUUGUAACCCCAAAAUCAAUACUUUCAUACUUUCACAGUCACUUGAGCACAUACACAUGCAGAGAACAGCAAAAAAUUUGAGUUGUCCAAUAAGCAUGUUCCCAGCUGAGGUCGAACAAGGUGAUGCUCUGCCUUCUUGUUUCAGUGCCAUUAGGUAAACAAGUGUCCUGUGUGUGAUAUAUUUACUGCCAUGUUUUUAG